AAUGAACGCUGGCGGCGUGCCUUACACAUGCAAGUCGAGCGAGGCCGGGUAGCAAUACCCGAGUCGAGCGGCGAACGGGUGAGUAACACGUGGAUAACCUGCCCAGAGGUGGGGGAUAACCCGGGGAAACUCGGGCUAAUACCGCAUGACACCGAGAGGUCAAAGGGGGCGUCGCAAGGGCUCUCGCCAUUGGAGGGGUCCGCGUCCGAUUAGCUAGUUGGUAGGGUAAUGGCCUACCAAGGCGACGAUCGGUAGCCGGCCUGAGAGGGUGAUCGGCCACACUGGAACUGAGACACGGUCCAGACUCCUACGGGAGGCAGCAGUGGGGAAUUUUGCGCAAUGGGCUAACGCCUGACGCAGCAACGCCGCGUGGAGGAUGAAGGUCCUUGGAUUGUAAACUCCUGUCAGCAGGGAAAAGCAACUUAGCCUAAUACGCUAGGGAGUUGAUUGUACCUGCAGAGGAACG
rnacentral:rRNA from 1 species